rnacentral:rRNA from 1 species
AUUGAACGCUGGCGGCAGGCCUAACACAUGCAAGUCGAGCGGUAGCACAGAGAGCUUGCUCUCGGGUGACGAGCGGCGGACGGGUGAGUAAUGUUUGGGAAACUGCCUGAUGGAGGGGGAUAACUACUGGAGACGGUAGCUAAUACCGCAUAACGUCGCAAGACCAAAGUGGGGGACCUUCGGGCCUCAUGCCAUCAGAUGUGCCCCGAUGGGAUUAGCUAGUAGGUGGGGUAACGGCUCACCUAGGCGACGAUCCCUAGCUGGUUUGAGAGGAUGACCAGCCCCCCUGGAACUGAGACCCGGUCCCGACUCCUACGGGAGGCAGCAGUGGGGAAUAUUGCACAAUGGGCGCAAGCCUGAUGCAGCCAUGCCGCGUGUAUGAAGAAGGCCUUCGGGUUGUAAAGUACUUUCAGCGGGGAGGAAGGCGAUAAGGUUAAUAACCUUGUCGAUUGACGUUACCCGCCGAAGAAGCACCGGCUAACUCCGUG